UUUGAUGAACGGUCAGUUGCAGGUCAGGUUAACAGGGCCGGGUAUCUGGGUUUAAAUAUGGCAUGGUAUUUUUGUCGGAUUUGAUGUUGAUGUUGAUGCCAAGCCAAAAGGAAAACAAUCGAGACAAUCUGCACAAUGACUUUUCCAACAAUGGCACUGAAAAAGUCCUCGAUGUGGAAAUAAAUAGUAUUCUCGUUGCCUUUAAGGUGACGCAGUCAAAAUGGAUCCACAGUGAUGAUGAUAGGCGUACGGCUCGUUCAAAAAGAAGAAGGCCUUAACAAAAAGACUUCGUGGCACAAAUAUUUAUCACGGGUUCAACCUUGCAACCUGAUGCAGUCCAACUGGACAAACAGUGCAGAUUAUAAGCAACUUGGCAUAAAGAUGUGGCCGUGGCAAAAAAUAUAUGUCAGAUUAAAAUAGUUAUCACGCUGCUCAAUUGGCAGCGUGACUUUUCGAUGUCUUGUGGCACUACUCUUGCGGUCCGGAUGUUGUAUGUUGUAUGCCUUGCUUCGUGGCACAAAUAGUUUCGGGAAAAAUGUAUUGUAAUAUGCCGGUAUAUCCCCCAAGCAGCUGUCAGAGAAAAAUCGAUCCUAAAGCUGACCAGAUCUCUCCUGGAUACACAAAAUGUUGUGGGGAAUCUUUAAAAAAAACAUAACCUCUGUAAGGAAAAUUUGGCAUAUCCUCUACAGAAAAGAAAUUCGUACCUUUUUCACUUUCUUCAAACAAAAUAUUGCGUCAAAAAAAUGUCGUUGUGAACUGCUCACAGAUCACUAAAGCACUAGUCACAAAACUUAGAUGAUGCACCGAAAAAAUUAUGGUUUAAACAAUACUCGAUUUGAUCUUUCCACUUUCGCAGUUGGCAAGUAAAAGGAAGUUAUGAAGUUGGCUUUGUAACUUCUAGCCUUCACUUUGCCUAAAAAAAGGUAUCAAAGAAAACGUCAAAACCAACACUAUUACUUGUUGCCAAUUGCAAUGGUAAUUUCAUGGUUGCCACCAAUCAAAGAUCUCGGCUUGGCAACAAAACUCCUUUAUCAAAUGUCUAUGCUACAAAUAAAGAAAUGCUGGGCAGAAUCCAACUCAGACAUUACCAUAAAAAAUAUCUCCAUAGAAAUAAUUCCUAAUAAAAUCUUAACAAAAAAGUUUGUACAUGCCCAAGCUUUGCAUCAAAUUUGACCGGCCGAAUACUUGCUUGUAAUAUUCAAGUGAGUGAGAGAUAAGCACACCCUUUCUUUGUAAACAUUGGUGGGUGGUUCAUGUAAGCACCUGUAAAAAAACAUCAUCACAAAGCAGAAUGUGUGCAAUAAAAAAAUGAUAUCUGCCUUUCAUAUAACUGUCUUUUUCUCCUUUAAUUCGUCCGCUAUUCUAAACAAUGAAUUAUUUGUCUGCCUAUAAAAAAUAAAAAACUCUACUAUUGAUCACAUUAUGAUCAUAAUCAUCUUUGAAAUUUUAAAAGUUUAGAAUUCACUUGCAAAUUAUAAAAGACUUCUGGAUUGUGUGGAUAAAAAAGGCAUAUAUUGCUGCAUAUGGAAAUUAAAAAAAAUAAAAUCUACACCCAAAAACAAAUGUGAGUAGUUGGAUAUAAUUUCAAGGAACAUAAUCUAAUGUAUUUUUUUUUUGGUGCGAUGGCUGGAGUAAAUGCAUCGGGAUGAAAUUUAAGGAAAAAAAGUGCUGUCUUGGGAAUGGUUUGGAUCUACACCAUGGGAACUUUCAACCUGUCCUGUAUAUAGACCUGCAUUUCGGAGCAAUCUAGUCAAAGUCGUCUCUAUCAUUCGAUUAAUUUCUGAAUGAUCAAUAGGAGGUACGUUACCAUUGCCGUUGCCGUCUGUGGGUGGCUGGGGCGAUAAAAGGGAAUUAUCCUGCACACGAGACACGUCAUUGGCAUCGGAUGCCACUUGGCGAUGUUCCUGCGAACAUGCAUUAUUAUCCUGAAAAUUAUCUAUAUGACUCUGAAAAAAGUCGCGAACUGUGCUACGAGUGUUAUAUUGGUGACUCAUCGCACCACGUCCUUUGCCACGAGAAGGAUUUGUCUUCCUCGAAGUAUCUCUUGUAGCUAUUUCUUUGUCCCUGACAGGUUGGCAUAUCCUUUUGCAAACGGGACAUUCAUCUGAGCUAGACAGAUGAGACUCAAUACACAGCUUAUGGAACAUCCUACAUGUCGCCUGAUUAUUAGAACUAGGGACUGCAGCAGCAGCUUGCGCGGAAGAUCUCGGAGGGGAAUUUUCAACCGGCAUUUUAGCUUAUGAACAGUAAAUGAAUUAAACAAAUAGAAAAAUAGUUAUCUGACUAACUCAAGCAAAAAUCGAAAACACUAAUCAAUGAUGGUAUACAUUGAUUUUUAAAAAUAAAAUUGGGCAAUUAAAAAAUAUAUAUAUAGCUAUAUUUAUGUAUAAAAUACUUCCAUACAUAUGUAUAAAGAAAAUAUUUAUAAGGAUA